rnacentral:rRNA from 1 species
GACGAACGCUGGCGGCGUGCCUAAUACAUGCAAGUCGAGCGGAUUGCUCCUUCGGGAGCAGUUAGCGGCGGACGGGUGAGUAACACGUAGGCAACCUGCCUGUAAGACCGGGAUAACUAUCGGAAACGAUAGCUAAGAGCGGAUAGCUGGUUCUCUCGCAUGAGGGAAUCAUGAAACACGGAGCAAUCUGUGGCUUAUAGAUGGGCCUGCGGCGCAUUAGCUAGUUGGUAGGGUAACGGCCUACCAAGGCGACGAUGCGUAGCCGACCUGAGAGGGUGAUCGGCCACACUGGGACUGAGAAACGGCCCAGACUCCUACGGGAGGCAGCAGUAGGGAAUCUUCCGCAAUGGACGCAAGUCUGACGGAGCAACGCCGCGUGAGUGAUGAAGGUUUUCGGAUCGUAAAGCUCUGUUGCCAGGGAAGAACGCUUGAGAGAGUAACUGCUCUUAGGGUGACGGUACCUGAGAAGAAAGCCCCGGCUAACUACGUGCCAGCCGCCGCGGUAAGAC